UCCGGGAAUCUUUUUUUAGAAUCAAUGUCAUGUGGUUUAUGACGUAGAUUCUUAUAAUCAGAACUCGUUGUCUGGACUUGAACAACACAAUGACCAGUAUAGUACUUGAACCUAAAACCUCAUCAUAACUGAUACCAAAUUUAGGCAGAUACUACUAAGGAGAGUUGCUCCAUGGCUUAUUUUCAAUCACCAAAAGAGAGAGAAGCCAUGGCAUCUACAAACCAUUCUUCAUUCCUCCUAUGCAUCCUCUCUAUUGCUUUCCUUCUGAUUGCAGGGCUAGGGCCAGGAGGUGCACUGAAUGUACCAGUGGCGUGUUUGGGAACAUGCUCAAGUUUUCCAAACUGCCAUCAAAGUUGCAUCUCUGCAGGUCAUGUGAAGGGCGGCGCGUGUAUGGGUGUCUCCUUCGACUCCUUUCUUGCUGCUGCAACAUAACCUGAUCUUCUUCUUUAAUUUCAAUUCCUCACACAGUGAACUGCUGAUCAUGUUUUGGAUUUUAUAAUAAUGUUGUUCAAUGCCCAUUUCUAUGCCUUUGUGAAUUGCCUGUUUGGAAAAUCAUAUUACUACGUUUUCAAAA